UCCCGAAGCUGCCCCGGGGCCGGGCGGAGCCUCCCGAGCGCCUUUCCCAGCCAGGUGCGGCAGCAGCUGAGGAAAAACGAGGAUCCUUCGUGAAAACAGGGAAGUGCACCUGGAUUUUCAGGGAUGCCCCCACACGGGUGGGAUUCAGAGCUGCUCCUCCAGCUGCAACACCAGGAUGGCCAAACACAGGAAGCAGCUGGGUUCGUCUUUGCCUGAGUGGAGAAUCUGGGGCUCUUUCCUGCUUGGAACAGCUCAGCCUCUUUGUGAAGGAGAGGUGGGAAUGCUGCCCCUUCCCAGGAUGAAGUGAGGAAUAGGGGUGAAUUGCCUCUCUGUGGGCAGGGGGCUGCUCUUGGUGCUGCCCUGGGAUUAAGGAGAUUUUGGGACCCUUGGAGCUGGUUCUGAGCCAGAUAAAGGAUGUCCAGCCCAAGCUGUGUCCCACGUGGAGCUCGUGCUGUGAUUGGGGCUCCUUCCACCUCCUGCAGCCCCAUGGUCUCCUGCUGAUCCUGGAGAGGAAGUUCUGGGAUGGUGCUCAGUGCCUGAAGGGAGCAGGGAGGACGAGCUGUGCCCAACUCCAAACCCCAGGAGCCACCUCUGGUUGCUGCUGUCCACAAACCAUGGAAUUGCUCAGGUUGGAAAAGCCCUCAGAGACCAUAUCCCCAGGUGCCACAGCCACACCCUUCUGGACACUUCCAGGGAUGGGGACUCUGCCCCUGCCCUGGGCAGUCCCUUCCAUUCCUUCACAACCCUUUCCAUGAGAAAUUUUUCCUGAAUCCAACUCAAAUCAUCCCUGAUGCACCUUGAGGCCAUUUUCACUCGUUCCCUGGCAGAUGCCAACCCCACCCUCCUGUCAGGGGGUUGUGGGAGGGAGAAGGUCCCCCCUGAGCCUCCUUUUCCCCAGCUGAGCCUAGGGAGCAGGUUUGGAUAAGGGGAAAGGGAAGGCCCUGGAGCAGGAGCUCAGCCAGUGCCAAGGGAGAGCUGGAAAUGGUUCCUGGAGUUAAAAGUCUCUUUUCCCAGCCCGGCCUUCAAAGAAGGAGUCAGGAUUCCUCAGCUCUCAAGGAAUGGUUCUCAAGGUUGUUUAUUUUCCCUUAUCUAGUACAUUCUUUCUCUGGCCUGCUGAGGUCCGUUCAGCAGCUCAGCCAGAGGCACACUGCCCACCCUUGGGCUGGUGUCAACAUUUUAUACUACAAACUACAUGCACUAUAUUUAGUUAUUUUCCAAUACCUAUCACCUAUGUUAGACAGUGUGUUCCUACCUUAAGCCAAUCCAGAAGUGCCACCAUCACCCAGAAGAUGGAGGCUAGGAAGAAGGAGAAAGGACAAGGCACGCCCAAAUUCCUCCAUCUUGACCUCUGAACCCCCAUUCUAAAAACCCCAAAAUUCUACUUUUCACCUUGUGACAAGCUAACUAUCAUUCUACUUAAACUCUCUUGACUUGUAAUUCUUCAUAUAAAGGUGGUAAUUUUCUCCAUGGGUCAAAAUCAGUCAGAGGUGUCCUGGGCUCUGUGCCAGGGUCUCUGAGCCCCCAGGCAAGGGCUGGAGCCCUCCAGGGCAGCCAGAGGGAUGUCCUGGGUUCUAACACUGGAGGUGUCCAAGGCCAGGCUGCUCCCCCAUUGCAGGGUCUGCUCAGGUGUAAAUCAGACAAACCCCAAAUUCCCUGAGUGCCCCAGGUAGGGCUGGUGUUUCCC